GGCGCGGUGGCCUAGUGGAUAAGGCGUUGGCCUCCGGAGCCAAAGAUCGGGGGUUCAAAUCCCCCUCGCGUCG